GAGGAUAGCGGCAAUAAAUUGGUGGCCGUUUAUUAUAUCGCCGCAAAUUAACAAAAUAGAGGCCGUUAUGGUAGCAGUCUGGGCUUCUGCUACAAAAGGCACCAACACCAACUCCUGCAAUCAAAUUAUGAAGAGAGCCAGUGGCCCUACGUGUCCCCGUGGCUGUCACUUACUCACUCCAGCCCUAGGUUCUCUUCGACCACCAACGCAGAGCCAACAUCGAUCAUCACCCCCGACGUCUCCAUCAGAACCCCAGAACCACCACUGUCAUCAUCUUCUUCUUCUUCCCUUCUUUCUUUUUCUUCUUCUUCCACCUUCGCCGAACAACCACCGCGAAAACCCUUUCUCCCUUUCUCUUCCCCUGUCUCCUGCCUUCUCUGUCUCGCUGUCGGGGGCUACCAUCCUGCACCGUCGCAACCAUCUUCUUCCCCUCCUUACAACCUCGCACUGUGGCUCUCUAGCUGGCCCUUGCCUCCCUCAUUCCCAGUCGCAGAAUCAGAACAGAGCCACUUUAGUUCCAGCGAGUUCAAACGCAGCAGCGACUGAGUGAAUAGAUGUAUAAUCCAAUCCGCAGGAGCCAGAUGCCACCCUUGGGAACAGAGGAUUAGGCCGCCUUGCUUCUUGCUUUGUGAACUCCUUGGCAACAUUGAAUUUCCAUGCAUGGGGUUUUAGUCUAAGAUACAAGUAUGGUUUGUUCAAACGACUUAUAAGGAAGGAUGGUCAAGAGGAAGUUGCUGAAAGCUGGCUCGAAGUAUUUACAUAUAUGCAUCAAUUUGCAGAUCGUGGGCACUAUUCUGUGGAGACUGUUACAGUUCUGGUGGCCUUGAAAGUUCGCUAUAGGGAUAGAAUUACACUUACCUGGGGAAAUCAUGAGAGCCGUCAAAUUACUCAAGUGCUUUUCUCUUCAAUGACUAUUGGGAGGAUAUAGGGACAAUCAGAUCACUCUUUGAGGCAAAUUUUUUCCUCACCGAAUAUGAUUUAAGAUCAGUCACAUUAUGUUUGUAAAUUCAGCCAUCCAGAUUUUGCUUUUAUGAAGCAGAAAAACCAAUGUAUACGUCAAGAAAAAACUUACUACCAUCGAAUAUUGACAAUAGCAAGAUUGUUUACUCAAUAGUAUCGCAUAGAUGAAUUCCGUGGAAGGACAGAGACAAAAUAGAAUCCUAGGAUUGGACUUAUUUUGAUUUGAAGCAAACAUUUUUUUAAUAUCAUUAUGCAAUUCUUAGCAAGAGAUUUAUUAUGUUGAUAUUUUUAUCAAGAUAUUAUUUUGUUUUCCAGUUAAUUUUGUUAUUUUUGCCA